AAGAAAAACUAAAAAAUGCGGGCUCAGGCUCAGCCGACGAACGAAAGUGUUGAAUGCAAAUGGAAACAGUACAAUCACCACCUCCAACCUCUCCGCUGCCUCCAUCAGCGGCGAGGCUGUGGAGGGUAGCCGCGCAGCGCAACCUUCGGAACCAGUGGUCACAGCUGGCCUCUCUCUGGAAGGAUUGGUCCUCCCUCUCCUCCCGCGCUCUCUCCCACGCCAAUGAAGCCCUUAACUACCAUCUCCAUCAACAGUACAUGCCUCACAAGGCGUUAGGUGUUUUGACCGAUAUGCCCCUUAUCAGAAGUCGUGCUUCUAUGAAACUCCAUAACCGUCAGGUUCUUGCGACGCGGGGAUUAUUGGAAUCGUAUAAGGCCAUGGUGGAUAUUUUGAGGAAAAUGUUCGAGGCUAGCAGAUUGUUCAGAUGUUUUCUCAAAGGAUCAAUCAAUAGUCCGCUAUUGCAAUUUUCGGAACGUUCUGAACAGAAGGGUGACAGCAGUGACACUGGAGAUGGUGGUGGAAUUCCAGUAUAUACAUUUUUGUCAAUCUCUUCUCAUGAGAAGUAUACCGAGGAGCUGGUUCAGAUGUUUAGCUUGGAACUGUGUAUGAAGCGGUUCCUUGUUCUUGAAUUUGUGUCACUUGGUUACGACACUUCACAAGUAAAGCAGUUGAGUUGGUCAACUGAGCUCUAUGCUGGUGAAUUCAAACAUUUGAGUGACUGCAAUCUUUACUGUGAGGAGACACAUGGUCCAGUUCUACCAAGGUCAAGAGAUGGGAAAUCUGAAAUGUUUGCUUUAACAUUUGACAACCAACACUCCAGUGAUGUCUUAGAGGUUUAUUUAACAACAUGGCGUGCAGAGCUGAACAUUGACAUUUUCAGGGUGAACGAGAUAUUUGAGACUGUUGGGGAGGAAAUGCAUAUCAAAUUAUGUUAGGCUGUGUUCUGGAAAAGACUAAGCUGUAAAAAGCUCCAAUGGAUGGUAAGUGAAGUCUCAGCACUAUAUGAUGCAUAUUUCUUUUUUGCUCACGCUUAUUGGUUGGAUCUUUGGGUAUUCAAAUCGUGGAAUCAGCCAUUGAUGCAUUUAUCAGGUAGGCUGUCUACGCUGCACCCACUGGGUGCUGCCCUUCCCCGGAUCUUGUUUAAUGCUGGAUGCUUGUGCACCAAACUGUCUAUUUUUUCUCUUUUUCUUUUUAGCAGCCACCAUUCCUAUAUGAUUGUAUUAUAGUGAUAUUAUCUCCAUUACCGUUUUAAUUUUAUGACUGUAUUAUAGGAUA